rnacentral:misc_RNA from 1 species
GAAAAAAUCGCCAAUAUGCAAUCCGCCGCCGGCUCAGAGCCCCACCGCCCGCUGCCUCCGCCGCAGCCGUGGGUGAUGCAGUAUCCGCCGCCGGCGAUGGUGAUGCCGCACCAGAUGAUGGCGGCGCCGCCACCGCAGUUCGCGCCGCACUUCAUGCACUACCCUCCACCGACGCCGCAGCACCAUGGGCCGGCUGCGUCGGCGGGAGGGGAGGAGAAUAAGACGAUCUGGGUCGGGGAUUUGCAUUAUUGGAUGGACGAGAGCUAUCUUCACAGCUGCUUCUGCCCCACCGGCGAGGUGAUCAAUGUGAAGGUUAUUCGCAACAAGCAAACUGGAACUUCCGAGGGUUACGGGUUUGUUGAGUUUUAUUCACACGAUGCAGCUGAAAAAGUGCUUCAGACCUUCACUAGUCAUAUAAUGCCUAACACAGAUCAGCCAUUUCGAUUGAAUUGGGCAUCUUUCAGCAUGGGGGACAGACGUUCAGAUAAUACUGCCGACCAUUCUAUAUUUG